AUAAAAAAUUAUAUAUAUGUGUAUAUAUAUCCUAGUCAUAAAUGUCAGAUAUUUCCUAGGUUUUAACAUCCAUGUUUGAAUAAAGAGACAUGAGAGUUUGAUUGUUGUUGCAUAUGGUCCUACACCUUCUCCCUCAAACAACAACAUUGACAAACACCCUCUCUUCAAUUCACACCUUCAACUUCACACACACUCAUCAUAUAUAUACACACAACCAAUCUCCAACAACCGACAAUCGUCCAUGCAAAUGUUUAUGUUCCACUAAUAACUUCCAUGGUGUUGUUAACUAUUGUUAUCCAUGGUGUAAAGGAGUAAAAUUUGCGGUUUAAAAAACAAAACUACUUAUCAGUAACUGAAGAAGAUUGAUAAGAUGAAGUUACGGUGGUCGUUCGGGUUGAUAGUUGUGGUGGUGAUGGUGGCGAUCACGGUGUUGCUGGUGGUUCUACCGUUGCUACUGCCGCCGCUUCCGCCGCAGCCCCCGCAGUGGCUGCUGUUGAUACCGGUGUUAAUCAUGUUUGUUCUUCUUUUCUUGGCUUUUACACCAUCCAAGGUCCCACCAUGAACCGUCGUUGUUUCAUGUUAAUACCAUGCAAUGAAUCUGGCUGGCAUGGAGUCUAUUUUAAUUUUUAAAAGAGUUUUAAUCUUUUGGUUCACUGUUGUUUGUCACACACAUGUUAAUAUAUGGUUAAUAGUUUAAUAUUUAUGAUGAGGAUUUGAUUAAACUGUUUAAUAAAGUAGACUUUGAUUUUGAUAAAAUAAUCUAUACCUCACAAUAAGUAACUAGUUGUAUUAUUUGUUGUAUAUUUCUUAUUUUUUAAGUUAUAUAUACAAUACAGUAGGUUAUAGGAUGUGGUCAUGACCUUCAAGACCAUCAUUACCCUUUAACGUCAUGUCACCUCAUUCUCAUCCACCAUUCAAAUCCAGCAUCCUAUAUGGUGUGGUCAUAACUAAACCACCAUUCAUAUUUUUUUUUUUAAAUUUAUUUUGUGUAAAAUAUAUUUAAUUAAUUAAGGAAAGGGAGUUGCACGGUUGUCAUGGUUUAAUCCAUGCGAACCAUAGUGAUUACAGGUUCCUUCGUUUCAAACUUUAGGUAAGCCCAAUAGCUCCCUUAACUAUACAUGGUGUAAUUUAUUUGCACUAAUAAAUUAAAUAUUGAGGGGACACGUGUCACUCCCUCAAUGAGUUUAGGUAUUUAUGUUGACCAUUUUACCAUUCCUAAGCAAAGCAACGCGGGAUCCGAACUAGUUUCAACAUACUCAAACCGUAAUCAGUGGAUCCUUUAUAAACGUUUUGUCCGAAUUCCACCUCAUUCACUCUUCGCUCAAAAUCGUUAAACCCUAAAAGCUUUGGACUGCGAUCGUGUCAACACGGUGAAAAUCAUCCGAUCCUAUUUUUCAUCGAUUUUCUUCUCUACGAUCCAUAUCUGAUCAACUAGGUUGGUGAUAAACAAAGUUCUUUCAAUUACAUCAUCUUAGAGCCCUCCUGUACUCAUGUUGUUUUGUCAUCAGCCGUCAUAAUAUUAGUCCGAUGUUAUAAUGUGGUAUACAAUGUUAUGGUUGACGAAGGUUAUACACGGCGAAUCAAGAUUGGGAGGUCCAGGGAUCUGUUUUUCUUUUGUCAUUCGUGGGUGAAAGUUGUUGAAGAGAUUAGUUUCAAGUUUGCUAAGUUUGUUGCGUUCUAGUAUUUGGGUGAUAGGAAGUUCAAGCUUACGAAAUUCAAUCCUGAUGGUAUCCAGCUGUUUCUUGCAAAUCUACAACCAAUUCCAUUAGCUCAACAUGAUGUGUCCCCUGCUCAGGAAAACAACACUCCGAAUCCAGCAAAUGAUGCUGAGCAUCCGGAAAACCCUGGUCAGGAUAUUCAAGCACUGAUUAUAGUAAGUAAUCAAGUCAGCAAGACAUACACGUUCAUAGCAUCGUCUACCUACUAAACUUUCUGAAGUUGCUAAGGUGAGGGUUGGCAAAAAGAUCAAGCCUAAGAACAUUGCUGGUGAAGUUAGUAAGAUGCAUGUUAGGAAGGAGAGGCAUGGGAAAAAAAGGAUUUCGAUUUGCAAUCGUACGUUGGAAUCAAUUCAUGAAGAAAAAUAGUGUUGGUCCCAGUUGGACUUAAAAACUUUCUUUUCUCGUAAUCUGGCUAGAACUCGUUCAGACAAGUGGCGUAUAUCAGAAUUUCUGUUAACCACUUCAUCUGAAAUUCUAAUGAACAAAUCAUCAGAAAGUCGAAUGAUCAGAUUUACCAGAAACUAAUGAUAUUUCAUCAGAAAUAUCAUCAGAUCCAUUAGAAUGGUCUUUUCUGAUAAUCUUCUCUUGUUCUUGAUCAACUUCUGAUUCUUUGAUGAAGAUGUGUUGUUCUUCUCAGGUGUCCUAUCUCGUUUCUUCUUGUUGUUUGAUCUUCAGGACAUUAUCUUCUUUUAUAGAUCAGGCUGAAUAUAUUUUUCUUCAAUAAUUACAUAAAAGUUUCCUAACAGUUUCCCCCUAAGUAUUGUAAGAAAAAUAACUACUUAUGUCAAACAUAAACAAAUUUCAACCAACUUUAAACGAACUUCA